rnacentral:rRNA from 1 species
UACGUAGGGUGCGAGCGUUAAUCGGAAUUACUGGGCGUAAAGCGUGCGCAGGCGGUUUUGUAAGACAGAUGUGAAAUCCCCGGGCUUAACCUGGGAACUGCAUUUGUGACUGCAAGACUAGAGUGCGGCAGAGGGGGGUAGAAUUCCACGUGUAGCAGUGAAAUGCGUAGAUAUGUGGAGGAAUACCGGUAGCGAAGGCGGCCCUCUGGACGGAUACUGACGCUGAGACGCGACAGCGUGGGGAGCAAACAGG